CUCCCACUUUAAUUGACGAAAUCACUGUAACUUCUUCUCCUUCUCUUCUUUUUCAUAACCUUAGAUCCUCCAUUCUUUCUUCUAAAUCCUCCAUUCUUUCUCAUAUCUUUUUUUUUUAAAUGAGAAGUCGAGAACCAUCCACUAUCUUUUAAUUUUUUGUUUUAUUUUAAAUCUAUGUUGAAUAUUAAAAAACAGUUUCUAAUCAGGCCUCAAAAUCGUCUUUCAUGCCCGAUCACGAGUAUAAUGGCUCCAUCAAUUCCCGGUCCAUCCUCAGCGAUUGUUCAAUUCAAAAACUUGGUUUGCAAGCGUGUCUGAAAAAUUAGGAGAUGGAGCAAAGACUUUCCACAACCAGUAACGUAUAGAUGACUUUAUAUUAAUAAUUAUGUAGUAUGCUCACAAAGUUUGUCCGUCUUCCAUCAAUAAUUUGUUUGUUUCA